UGGAACAGACAGAGCCGCGAGGAUGGCAGCGCACAAAAAUACACGCAGUGAGAAGACCGUACCGAAGAUUUAAGUCGGAUCCAGAGCUGUUACUAGCCGACCUGUCUCUGCCGUCGCCGCUCUGAGCCACCCGCAGCCCGAGCCGGUGCUGCUGACCCCCGCCGCGCCGGCGACCGUCAUGCCGGCUGUCCUUCGACAUCAACCCGGUAAACCUGCGACUUUCCGCGGACACGAACUUCGCAGCAGAGGGCGAGAAAUUAAACAGGCCACCUCUUCUUUUACACGGAGAUCUGGCGGAUGGUGAGGAGAACAGGACAGAGAGGGACGCCGCCAGCAGGACUGGAGGACUAACGAUUUCUAUUCUUGCUGAAGUGGCCUGGAAGGGCAGAGGGUCCCUUUGAGCACCAAAAGGAGUGACGAAAGUCCACUUCUGCACAAAAGCGCUUUACGAUUAAAGUCCCCAUCAGGCAUAAACUUCACUCCGAGACUGGCGACCAAUCAAAAAAUGAUCCUCGCUGUCGGAUCCAUAAACGUGUGUGUGUGUGUGUGUGUGUUUUUGUGUAUAGAAAACGUAUGCAUACAUCGAGUCAUUUGUUUUAAAACAUCUGUCUACACACCCCCCCUCCCCUCCCCUCCCGUCCCGAAUAAAAGACGCCCUAUGUGGGCAAGUCUGCAGUUUAAAUCCGUAUGGCAAAGAGUUUGUGGCAAGUUCUC
ensembl:processed_transcript